AAAAGUUAUCUUAUAUGAUAAUGAUUGAUAGAGUCUCUCAUGACUUCUUUUGAACUGUCCUGUAUGUACAUAAGUUUCCUGAGUGAUUAUCAUUUGUAGCAUGCUUAUAAUGUGUGAUUAGUUAAAGUAAGAUUAGACUGAUUAAUAUAAGUCCUAAUCAUUUUCUCUGUUUCCAUUUUUUAUGCAUGUGAAUUCAUCGCGUUUGAGUUCGCCAUGAACUCUUGAUUGCAUUUUUCCCAUCGAGUCGAUUCAUGAGAAAAGUUCAAAAAUCGAGUUCCAAGGCAUACGAAUACAAGGAGACAAGAGAAGAAGAAUAGGUUAAAAUCCCAUCUUUGAAGCGGCAAAGGGACUAAAAAGGUCCCUUUUUAUUUAUUUGUUUAUUUUUUAUUUGUUGUCCUUAUUUAUUUUAUUUAUUUAUUUCCUUAUUCAUUCAUUUGGGACUCG
rnacentral:lncRNA from 1 species